rfam:Gossypium raimondii Chr07_contig_643, whole genome shotgun sequence.
AAUCCAUGGUAUGGGCAUAUUUGAAUUAAUGUUUUAAAAUGCUUCCAAGAUUCAUGAAAGCUUUCCCCUUCUAAUUGUUUAAAAGUUGUGAUCUUCCUCCUUAGUUG